AUUGAACGCUGGCGGCAGGCCUAACACAUGCAAGUCGAACGAGUGGCGGACGGGUGAGUAAUGUCUGGGAAACCGCCCGAUGGAGGGGGAUAACUACUGGAAACGGUAGCUAAUACCGCAUACCAUCGGAUGUGCCCAGAUGGGAUUAGCUAGUAGGUGGGGUAACGGCUCACCUAGGCGACGACCCCUAGCUGGUCUGAGAGGAUGACCAGCCAGACAGGAACUGAGGCACGGUCCAGACACCUACGGGAGGCAGCAGGGGGGAAUAUUGCACAAUGGGCGCAAGCCUGAUGGAGCCAUGACGCGUGUAUGAAGAAGGCCUUGGGGUUGUAAGGUACUGUAAGCGAGGAGGCGUUACUCGAAGAAGAAGCACCGGCUAACUCCGUGCCAGCAGCCGCGGUAAUAC
rnacentral:rRNA from 1 species